rnacentral:rRNA from 1 species
GGUAGUAGUGGGUGUAGCGUACCUACUAGCCUACGACGGGUACGGGUUGUGAGAGCAAGAGCCCGGAGAUGGAUUCUGAGACACGAAUCCAGGCCCUACGGGGUGCAGCAGGCGCGAAAACUUUACAAUGCUGGCAACAGCGAUAAGGGGACCUCGAGUGCCAGGUUACAAAUCUGGCUGUCGUGAUGCCUAAAAAGCAUUGCAUAGCAAGGGCCGGGCAAGACCGGUGCCAGCCGCCGCGGUAACACCGGCGGCUCGAGUGGUAACCGUUAUUAUUGGGUCUAAAGGGUCUGUAGCCGGCCGGAUAAGUCUCUUGGGAAAUCUGGCAGCUUAACUGUCAGGCUUUCAGGAGAUACUGUCUGGCUCGAGGCCGGGAGAGGUGAGAGGUACUUCAGGGGUAGGGGUGAAAUCCUGUAAUCCUUGAAGGACCACCAGUGGCGAAGGCGUCUCACCAGAACGGACCUGACGGCAAGGGACGAAAGCUAGGGGCACGAACCGGAUUAGAUACCCGGGUAGUCCUAGCCGUAAACGAUGCUCGCUAGGUGUCGGCCACGGUGCGACCGUUGUCGGUGCCGUAGGGAAGCCGUGAAGCGAGCCACCUGGGAAGUACGGCCGCAAGGCUGAAACUUAAAGGAAUUGGCGGGGGAGCACCACAACGGGUGGAGCUUGCGGUUUAAUUGGAUUCAACGCCGGAAAUCUUACCGGGACCGACAGCAAUAUGAAGGCCAGGCUGAAGACUUUGCCGGAUUAGCUGAGAGGUGGUGCAUGGCCGUCGUCAGUUCGUACUGUGAAGCAUCCUGUUAAGUUAGGCAACGAGCGAGACCCACGCCCACAGUUGCCAGCGUACUCUCCGGAGUGACGGGUACACUGUGGGGACCGCCGCUGCUAAAGCGGAGGAAGGAAUGGGCAACGGUAGGUCAGUAUGCCCCGAAUAUCCCGGGCUACACGCGAGCUACAAUGGUUGGUACAAUGGGUAUCUACCCCGAAAGGGGAUGGAAAUCUCCUAAAGCCAAUCUUAGUUCGGAUUGAGGGCUGCAACUCGCCCUCAUGAAGCUGGAAUCCGUAGUAAUCGCGUUUCAACAGAACGCGGUGAAUACGUCCCUGCUCCUUGCACACACCGCCCGUCAAACCACCCGAGUAGGGUCUGAAUGAGAGCGCUUCCAUCGGAGGCGUUCGAAUUUGGGCUUUGCAAGGGGGGUUAAGACGUAACAAGGUA